rnacentral:rRNA from 1 species
UCAGGAUGAACGCUAGCGGCGUGCCUUAGGCAUGCAAGUCGAACGGUCUGUCUUCGGGCAGACAGUGGCGGACGGGUGAGUAAUACCUACGAAUCUACCCUUUGGUGGGGAAUAGCUCCGGGAAACCGGAGAUAAUACCGCAUAAGUCGGCAACGAGAAAGGGCGUAACUGCCCGCCGAAGGAGGAGCCUGCGUCCUAUCAGCUUGUUGGUGGGGUAAUGGCCUACCAAGGCGAUGACGGGUAGCUGGUCUGAGAGGAUGGUCAGCCACAAGGGCACUGAGACACGGGCCCUACACCUACGGGUGGCAGCAACCGGGAAUAUUGCGCAAUGGGCGAAAGCCUGACGCAGCGACGCCGCGUGCGGGAUGAAGGCCUUCGGGUCGUAAACCGCUUUUAUCUGUCGGUCGACGACAGUUGAAUAACGACCUGCAAACUACGUGCCAGAAGCCUCGGUGAUACGUAGGGUUGAAGCGUUAUCCGGAUUUAUUGGGCGUAAAGCGUUUCGUAGGCGGUCUUUCAAGUCUAAGUUUAAAGCCUGGGGCUCAACCCCAGAAAAGGCUUGGAUACUGAAAGGCUAGAGGUUUUUUGAGGGUGCUGGAACUUCUGGUGUAGGAGUGAAAUCCAUUGAUAUCAGAA